rnacentral:lncRNA from 1 species
UUUUAAUUUGAUAAGUAAAAUACCACAUGCAUGCAAGUAAGAGAGAAAAUUUAAUAUUACCUAGAAAUAACAAUCACUUGAGCAAGAUAUAUUCCACUCGAGAAUAAAUCAAAAUGCUUGCAAUCUAUGUGCCUUACUUUUUUCCAAUUCAUGCAUCUGAAUUUUCUUUUCCAGUUCGUUGUUGCUAUAAACAAGCUAAUUUGUUUCAUUAAUUGUGCGGCAUAUUAUGGAACACAUGUUUCAUGCAUACAAAAAGUUCUCGUAAUGUGAGCAUUUUCUGUGACUUGUGAAAAUUAGUGGAAUAAAUGGACGUUUAGGUGAAGGUUUGUUUUUUAAUAAGCGUGGUUCGAUGAUGAGUUGCCAGGCCCGCAUCUCAUACACCCGGUGAACUUUGUGAGCUUGCACUAAAAGGCACCCCCAAAAAUUUUUCUUUAAUUAAUUAUGUUUUAAGUUUUAGGAGGAUCCCUAGUUUCAUGAUUUGUCGCUUCUUUGAUUAAUAUGUUUCUAAUUAUUGAGAUGCUUGGAUGUUUGAAAUAUUUUUAGUUGCCAUUUUUAAAACUUGAAAUAUAGUUGGCUGCCUGGGCACUCACUUGAAGGCGAGAAGGUGGGAUGGGACUUUUAUUAAUUAGAUGGAGUGAAUUUCCCAUAAUGCCCCUACUUUCUCUCACAAAGAGGUUCCUUCUCGGACAAAUUCUUUCCUUUACCUUGACCAUGAAGUGCCAUGGGAUAACCUUUUCCUACUCUUCCCUUGAUUGACAUGGUAAACAGUACUGCCAAGCAUUAUCUCAGUUAUUUAAUCAGUUUUAUGGGCCCUUCCAUCAAGAGAGAAGACUCGUAGCCAGCUCCUGUUCCCGUUUUAUAUGGGGCCUUUGCUUCCUUUUGGUUAGCCUCCCGGAGGCCUUCCAUUGGCCCGAGGCCUUAGGCGACUGCCUCAGUCGUCUAGGGCUCGGGCCGGCCCUGGUGCAAAGAAAGAGAUACAAAGAGUAUAGGAUAAAUUUAAUUUUAACUAAUUUAUACUUUUAAAUAUAAUUUCUAAAUUUUUAUGUAUUAAAAAUAUAAAAUGUUAUAUACAUAUUUCUCAACAAACAUCCUAAUAAACUCAUAUAUAUAUAUAUAUAUAUGUAUAUGUAUAUAUAUCUUUUUGUAUGCAUGAAACAUGUGCUCCAUAGUAUGCCGUACGGUUAAUGAAACAAAUUACCUUGCUUGAC